rnacentral:rRNA from 1 species
AGAGUUUGAUUCUGGCUCAGGAUGAACGCUAGCGGCAGGCUUAACACAUGCAAGUCGAGGGGCAGCGGGAUGUAGCAAUACAUUGCCGGCGACCGGCGGAUGGGUGCGUAACGCGUAUGCAACCUACCUUAUACAGGGGAAUAACCUUUCGAAAGGGAGACUAACACCCCAUGGUAUUGAUUUAAGGCAUCUUAGAUUAAUUAAAUAUUUAUAGGUAUAAGAUGGGCAUGCGUAUGAUUAGCUAGUUGGUAAGGUAACGGCUUACCAAGGCGACGAUCAUUAGGGGUUCUGAGAGGAAGGUCCCCCACACUGGUACUGAGACACGGACCAGACUCCUACGGGAGGCAGCAGUGAGGAAUAUUGGUCAAUGGGCGCAAGCCUGAACCAGCCAUGCCGCGUGCAAGGAAGACGGCCUUAUGGGUUGUAAACUGCUUUACAUAAGACUAACCGUAUAUUUGCGAAUAUACCUGAAUGUAUUAUGAGAAUAAGGAUCGGCUAACUCCGUGCCAGCAGCCGC